rnacentral:rRNA from 1 species
CCAGACUCCUACGGGAGGCAGCAGUGGGGAAUAUUGCACAAUGGGGGAAGCCCUGAUGCAGCAACGCCGCGUGAGUGAAGAAGUAUUUCGGUAUGUAAAGCUCUAUCAGCAGGGAAGAAGAUGACGGUACCUGAGUAAGAAGCCCCGGCUGACUACGUGCCAGCAGCCGCGGUAAUACGUAGGGGGCAAGCGUUAUCCGGAUUUACUGGGUGUAAAGGGAGCGUAGACGGUGAGACAAGUCUGAAGUGAAAGCCCGGGGCUCAACCCCGGGACUGCUUUGGAAACUGUGCGGCUGGAGUGCAGGAGGGGUAAGCGGAAUUCCUAGUGUAGCGGUGAAAUGCGUAGAUAUUAGGAGGAACACCGGUGGCGAAGGCGGCUUACUGGACUGUAACUGACGUUGAGGCUCGAAAGCGUGGGGAGCAAACAGGAUUAGAUACCCCCGUA